GCAUAUUGAUCAGAUCUUCAGUGUGUGAGAGUGUUUAUAGUGCUGUGAGUUUAACACUUCAUCACUGACAGCUUUUCUUCAUUCAGACUGAAAGUAAACCACCGAUAAGAAGAAUGAUGAUCAUCAGCGUCUGUAUCUGGACUCUCAUUCUUUCUGUUCAAGAAGUUACAGGACAGGUUUCUGUGACUCAGACUCCCUCAGAAGAAGCUCUUCUAGGAGGAACAGUCACUAUAAACUGUCAAACUAACAGAGGAAUUGGAGAUCGUUCAGCGGGUUGUAGCGACUGUCUCUCCUGGUAUCUGCAGAAACCUGGAGAAGCUCCUAAACUCCUCAUUUAUUACAUUAGAUCACGACAGUCAGGAACACCAUCUAGAUUCACUGGCAAUGGAGCAAAUUAUGGAACAGAUUUCACUCUGAGCAUCAGUGGAGUCCAGACUGAAGAUGCUGGACAUUAUUACUGUAUGAGUGUUCACAGGAUCAACAGUAACUGGGUGUUCACACAGUGAUAAAGAGUCGUACAAAAACCUCCGUCAGUCAGAGUCACAGUGACUGAACUGAAACUGCAGCUGCUCAAACACGUUCAC